CGUAGCCUACGGGGGGCAGCAGUGAGAAAUAUUGGUCAAUGGGAGAGAUCCUGAACCAGCCACGCCGCGUGAGGGAAGACGGCCCUAUGGAUUGUAAACCUCUUUUGUCGGGGAGCAAAAGACGCCACGUGUGGCGUUCCGAGAGUACCCGAAGAAAAAGCAUCGGCUAACUCCGUGCCAGCAGCCGCGGUAAUACGGAGGAUGCGAGCGUUAUCCGGAUUUAUUGGGUUUAAAGGGUGCGCAGGCGGAAGAUCAAGUCAGCGGUAAAAUUGAGAGGCUCAACCUCUUCGAGCCGUUGAAACUGG
rnacentral:rRNA from 1 species